rnacentral:rRNA from 1 species
UCCUACGGGAGGCAGCAGCAAGGAAUUUUGUGCAAUGGGCGAAAGCCUGACACAGCGACACCGCGUGGGGGAUGAAGGCCUUCGGGUUGUAAACCUCUUUUCUCAGGGAAGAAUAAUGACGGUACCUGAGGAAUAAGUCUCGGCUAACUACGUGCCAGCAGCCGCGGUAAUACGUAGGAGGCGAGCGUUAUCCGGAUUUACUGGGCGUAAAGAGGGCGUAGGCGGCUUUUCAAGUCGGGUGUGAAAUCUCCCCGCUUAAUGGGGAGGGGUCAUUCGAUACUGUUAAGCUAGAGGACAGCAGAGGGAGGUGGAAUUCCCGGUGGAGUGGUGAAAUGCGUAGAUAUCGGGAGGAACACCAGUGGCGAAGGCGGCCUCCUGGGCUGUUUCUGACGUUGAGGCCCGAAAGCGUGGGGAGCGAACAGGAUUAGAUACCCCGGUAGUCCAAGCCG